GUCUCCGGCCACGCCGCCCUGAACGAGCCCGAGCCCGUCUGAUCUCGGAAGCUAAGCAGGGCCGGGCCCGGUGAGGACUUGCAUGGGAGACCGCCUGGGAAGACCGGGUGCCGCAGGCG
ensembl:rRNA 5S_rRNA 5S ribosomal RNA